rnacentral:tRNA from 1 species
GAGGGUAUAGCUCAGUGGUAGAGAGUGUGCUUAGAAUAUAUGAGGUCCUGGGUUCAAUCCCCAGUACCUCCA